CCUACGGGAGGCAGCAGUGAGGAAUAUUGGUCAAUGGACGGAAGUCUGAACCAGCCAUGCCGCGUGCAGGAAGACGGCUCUAUGAGUUGUAAACUGCUUUUGUACGAGGGUAAACGCAGAUACGCGUAUCUGUCUGAAAGUAUCGUACGAAUAAGGAUCGGCUAACUCCGUGCCAGCAGCCGCGGUAAUACGGAGGAUUCAAGCGUUAUCCGGAUUUAUUGGGUUUAAAGGGUGCGUAGGCGGUCGGAUAAGUUAGAGGUGAAAUCCCGAGGCUCAACUUCGGAAUUGCCUCUGAUACUGUUCGGGCAGAGAGUAGUUGCGGUAGGCGGAAUGUAUGGUGUAGCCGUGAAAUGCUUAGAGAUCAUACAGAACACCGAUUGCGAAGGCAGCUUACCAAGCUACUUCUGACGUUGAGGCACGAAAGCGUGGGGAGCAAACAGGAUUAGAUACCCCUGUAGUC
rnacentral:rRNA from 1 species